UACGUAGGGGGCGAGCGUUAUCCGGAAUUACUGGGCGUAAAGCGCACGCAGGCGGUUCGCCAAGUUUGGAGUGACAGUUGUCGGCUCAAUCGACAAAGGACUUCAAAAACUGGUGAACUUGAGGACGAGAGAGGAACAUGGAACUCCAGGUGUAGUAGUGAAAUGCGUAGAUAUCUGGAAGAACACCAAUGGCGAAGGCAAUGUUCUGGCUCGUUUCUGACGCUCAGGUGCGAAAGCCAGGGGAGCGAACGGG
rnacentral:rRNA from 1 species